rnacentral:rRNA from 1 species
GUGGGGAAUAUUGGGCAAUGGGGGAAACCCUGACCCAGCAACGCCGCGUGAAGGAAGAAGGUUUUCGGAUCGUAAACUUCUAUCCUUGGUGAAGAUAAUGACGGUAGCCAAGAAGGAAGCCCCGGCUAACUACGUGCCAGCAGCCGCGGUAAUACGUAGGGGGCAAGCGUUGUCCGGAAUGAUUGGGCGUAAAGGGCGCGUAGGCGGCCUGGUAAGUCUGGAGUGAAAGUCCUGCUUUUAAGGUGGGAAGUGCUUUGGAUACUGUCGGGCUUGAGUGCAGGAGAGGUAAGCGGAAUUCCCGGUGUAGCGGUGAAAUGCGUAGAGAUCGGGAGGAACACCAGUGGCGAAGGCGGCUUACUGGACUGUAACUGACGCUGAGGCGCGAAAGCCAGGGGAGCAAACGGGAUUAGAAACCCCAGUAGUCC